GAUGAACGCUAGCGGCAGGCCUAAUACAUGCAAGUCGAGGGGCAGCGCGGUAGCAAUACUGGCGGCGACCGGCGCACGGGUGCGUAAUACGUAUGCAACCUACCUUCAACUGGAGGAUAGCCCGGGGAAACUCGGAUUAAUACUCCAUAACACAGGGAUCCCGCAUGGGAAUAUUGUUAAAGCUACGGCGGUUGAAGAUGGGCAUGCGUUCGAUUAGCUAGUUGGUGUAGGUAACGGCUCACCAAGGCUACGAUCGAUAGGGGGUCUGAGAGGAUGAUCCCCCACACUGGUACUGAGAUACGGACCAGACUCCUACGGGAGCAGCAGUAGGGAAUAUUGGUCAAUGGGCGCAAGCCUGAACCAGCCAUGCCGCGUGCAGGAAGAAGGCCCUCUGGGUUGUAAACUGCUUUUGAUAGGGAACAAAUGCCACUUGCAGUGGAGCUGAGUGUACCUAUAGAAUAAGCACCGGCUAACUCCGUAGCCAGCAGCCGACGG
rnacentral:rRNA from 1 species